ensembl:lncRNA
GCCUCAAGGGCCAGCCAGGCACCCAGGGUUCAGAGCUCUGCGAGCUUAUCUUAUCCUUGUGCUGGUCCCAGACUCCUUGAGGGCAAAGUCCAGGACUCAUUCAUCCUCCUCGUCUGGGCAGCCCCAACACAGUAAGUGUUCAUGGGACACUGGCCGAAUGGAAGGGACCCGAACUCCGACCCUGCAGCUAUGGGGCCCCAGGCCUAGAGUCCUGGCUUAGGGUUGAAGUGGGGGGCAGGCAGCCUCCUGCUCUGGGUUUCCUCUUCCAUGUGCCUCUACACAGCCCCUGAUGGCUCUCAGACACAUGUGCCUGGAGUUCCCGCUGUGGCAGAGUGGGUUAAGAAUCAGACUGCAAGACUUCCUGUCGUGGCUAUUAAGAAACCAACUAGUAUCCAUGAGGACUCGGGUUUGAUCCCUGGCCUCGCUCAGGGGGUUAAGGAUCCAGCAUUGCCGUGAGCUGUGGUGUAGGUCGCAGAUGCGUCUCAGAUCUGGCGUUGCUGUGGCUGUGGUGCACGCCAGCAGCUACAGCUCCAAUUCUAUCUCUAGCCUGGGAAUCUCCAUAUACCGCAGGUGCGGCCAUAAAAAAGGAAAAAAAGAAAGGAAACUUGUGCAAGGCAGACCCAGCUCCCUCUGACUGGCUCCUUGAUCACCAUGGACCUGUGCCCUUUUUCCGGCAGGCCCUGGGGUGGGCCUGUGCAUGUCUUGCCUCGCCAGGAUCCUGAGGCCGCCUGUUCACCACCAGAGCCAGCUUCGCCCGCUCCCCACUCGCUGGUCCCCAGGAUGCUCGUGGCCUCUCUUAGAGCUUCCGCCACAUCCCAUCACCCACACCUGCUCUUCUGCCUCAGCCUGUGAACUCCCCGGGAGCAGCAGGCACUGAUUUCUUGUUUCCUGUGGCCUCGGAGAGUGGCACAGAACAGGUGCCUAAGAAAUGUCCGCUGAAGCAGUGACCACGUUCAUCGAAUGAAGGUGCUCAGGGGAGGUGGGGAGCAGACGCCUGGAGAGGGCGGCACCACACCUGCCUGUAGGAGGCCUUCAAGAAAUGCCAGCCACCGUCUUCAUCACCAUCACUGCCCAUUUGUGAACAAUGUGGUACUGGUUCCAACCUCAAAGAAAAGGCGAUGGGGAAAGGAGUGGUCAGAGCUGGGUGGCCUAGAUCAGGAAAGGCUCCCUGGGAAAGGUAGAGUGUGGGAGUUCCCACUGUGGUUCAGUGGUAAUGAACCCGACUAAUAUCCAGGAGGACGUGGGUUUGAUCCUUGGCCUCGCUCAGUGGAUUAAGGAUCCGGUGUCGUGAUGAGCUGUGGUUAGGUCGCUGUCGAGGCUCGGAUCUGGCAUUCCUGUGGGGGGAUAGGCCGACAGCUACAGCUGCACUUCAACCCCUAGCCUGGGAACUUCUAUAUGCCGCACCUGCUGCCCUAAAAAGACAAAAAGAAAAAAGAAAGAUAGAGAUUGAGUUCAGCUUUUGCUGAGGUGAAGCCCAGGAAAAAAAAGGUCAUGAGCUCUACAGGGGAAGGAGUGGCGUGACAGACAGGGACAGCGGUGCAUCAAAGAGGAGAGGGCUUGGAGUUCCCGUCGUGGCGCAGUGGUGAACGAAUCUGACUAGGAACCAUGAGGUUGCGGGUUCGAUCCCUGGCCUUGCUCAGUGGGUUAAGGAGCUGGCGUUGCUGUGAACUUCGGUGUAGGUCGCAGACACGGCUUUGGAUCCCAUGUUGCUGUGGCUGUGGCGUAGGCCAGCGGCUACAGCUCCGAUUCGACCCCUAGCCUGGGAACCUCCGUAUGCCGCGGGAAGCGGCCCUAGAAAAAAGCAAAAAG